UACAGGGCCACCAAUUUUCCACAGGAGCCAGAGAUGGUGCUACAGGAGCCAGAGGUGGGCCAACAGGAGCCCGAGAUGGUGCUACAGGAGCCAGAGAUGGUGCUACAGGAGCCAGAGAUGGGGCCACAGGAGCCAGAGAUGGUGCUACAGGAGCCAGAGGUGGUGCUACAGGAGCCAGAGAUGGGGCCACAGGAGCCAGAGGUGGUGCUACAGGAGCCAGAGGUGGUGCUACAGGAGCCAGAGGUGGUGCUACAGGAGCCAGAGGUGGUGCCACAGGAGCCAGAGGUGGUGCUACAGGAGCCAGAGGUGGUGCUACAGGAGCCAGAGGUGGUGCUGCAGGAGCCAGAGGUGGUGCUGCAGGAGCCAGAGGUGGUGCUGCAGGAGCCAGAGGUGGUGCUGCAGGAGCCAGAGGUGGUGCUACAGGAGCCAGAGGUGUUGCUACAGGAGCCAGAGGUGGUGCUACAGGAGCCAGAUGUCCAGUGGAACCGUGGCCUCCCUGACCAACCCUGAACCUAACGGCCGGCUAUCUAGGGAGUGCACGGGAAAAGGAGAAUCUAUCGGCACCAGCGGAACACCCAGCUUGAUGGCAAGUCCACGAUCCAUAAAGUCCCCAGCUGCACCUGAAUCGACUAGCUCCUUAUGCUGGGAAGAGGGGGAAAAAAAUCAAGGAAAAAAAUCAAGACAAACAUGUGACCAACAGG
ensembl:lncRNA